CCGUGAUGUUAAAGAUAAGUCUGUCUGAGAAGUUGCCUGUGAUUUGAAAUUAUUAAUCCACUGAAAUACACGAAGUCUUGAGCAUCAACUAGAGUGAAAACAUGAGGAAGUUCCUCAGUACAGAUUUCUUUAGAAAAACACGUCCAGUAAGUCGACGCCCACACGGAACAUGUAUUAAAAGUGCUGAUUCUCCAGACAAUUGAAUCACUCGCACCCCACCGGAGGACAAGAGCCGUUUGGAAACAGACAACAGUGAGUGUAAGUAAACGCACUCUGCACUUUAUUGGUGGGGAAAAAAAGAGUCAUAGAGAGGAGAAAAUCGGGCACCAGGUCAAACCCAUGAAUUAUUUUUAUUGUAGAAUUUCAUAGACCAGAAAUGAUAAUGUCAUUGUUUUCCACUCCAGUUAUAUCACUGAAUCAAUGUGGUAGGUAAAGGAUUUUUUAAAAUUAAAACCUCUGUCUACAUUCAAACAAAAUCAAACAAACAAAAUUUUUGGCAAAGUGUGUUUGCAUACACAAAGAAUUUGUUUCCAGUACUUACAUUGAGUACAACACACAAUGGUGUAUAAAAUAUAAGACAGAAAUAUAUUAAAGUAGAACAAUAUUAAAAUAAUCCAGACCAGUAUAACCAAUACGCAGUAUUGCAUGUGCACACCAGUAAGUGUGGGUUAGUCAGUAGCAGUAGCAGUAAUAUAUUUCGCUAUAGUCCAACAGAUUAAUGUCCAUAUUAACUGAUCAUGAAGGAGAUGGCCUGUGAGGAAAAUAAAACCUGUUCUUGAGUCUAGUUGUUUUGUGUAGAGAAGCUCUGAAGAACCUACCAGAGUUCAAAGAGGUCAUGGUCAGGUUGUGUGGAGUCUGUAGUUCAUAGUUCACCCUGUAAUCUGAUGAAGAAUAUCUGGAGGGGUUAAAAUUUAAUUAGAUUCUUCUUUAAAUCAAGAACAGGUUUGAAUAAAAUAGAAAAUAUAUAGAACUAUAUAGCAGCCGUGCUGUGAUCGAGUUACAGUAGCUUCGUCUUCGACUGACAGGCUUUUCCCUGCUGUGUAGUGUAGCAGGUUGGGUAAAGUGUUUUUAUAUCCUCCUGAGACUCCGCCCAUUGACUUGUGUCCUCUGUAGUGGAUGUUUUGUUUUCAUGCAUGUCCUCUGACUUUUUUAAGCUACUCUAGUAACUCUAGAGGACAUUCUGGGCUUUCUAGUGAUGUGUCAUGUUACAGUCUGUGACGCGAGGAUCAACUUCUUACACUACAUCUAAAAUGGCCGGCAUAGGAACAAGCACAUUUUAUGGAAAGAAGAAAGAUAACUAAAGUAUUGUAUUUUUAAUUGUUUUUUUUUUUUACUAUGAUUAUCACAUAUAUUCUUUUUUAUUAAAGUGUCAGGAAUAAUAUACUUAGUUCUGAAAGCAGUUCAAUGGUUUGUGUUUAAAAAUAUUAGCCUUUUUAUCAAUGUCAAUUAUAGUGGACACCAGGAUCAUCUUAAUGUACAUAAUGACACCAUGUUCCACACACACACACACACACACACACACACACACACACACACACACUUCACUACAACCAGUGAUUAAUCAUCAGUGAUAAAUAUAAUUUAUGAAUGCGGCUUCAAGAUUGUCCACAUGGUAUCAUGAAAUAUGUAAACUGGCUAAAGAAUGCAAAGUUUGUACUUUUGAUUUUGACUAAUUGUAUAGACAUACAGAGUCCUCCAUUAAUGUUGGCACCCUUGGUAAAUAUGAGCAAAGAAGGCUGUGAAAAAAAAUUCUUUAUUGUUUAACUUUUUGAUCCUUUGUUUAAAAAAUUCACAAAAUACUCUGCUCUCAUGGAUAUCAAACAAUUAUAAACACAACACAGGUUUAUCCCAAAAAAAAAAAUCUUUGUUAAAUGUAGGUGUGCAACAAUUAUUGCCACCCCUAUGAAUAUGAGAAAAAUAUAUUUGAAGUAUAUUCCCAUAGUUUUAAUUUUUUAGUAUAUCUGGGUGACUAGGAACAGGAAUUUUGUUCAACCAUCACUUCCUGUUUCACAGGGGUAUAAAUAUGAGGUAACACAUAGGCCAAAUUCCCUUAGUCAUUCAUAAAAAUGGUUAAGAGCGAGGAAUAUAGCUGUGAUGUGCGGCAAAACGUUGUUGAGCUUCAUACAAUGGGGCGUGUCUAUAAGAAAAUAGCACAAGCAUUGAAAACACCCGUUUCCACCAUCAGGGCAAUAAUUAAGAAGUUCCAGUCAACUGGAAAUGUUAUGAAUGGACCUGGAAUUGGAUGUGUGUCUAUAUCGUCUCAACGCACUGAAGAAGACGGUUCGAGUGGCCAAAAAUCUCCAAGGAUCACAGCUGGAGAACUGCAGAAGUUAGUCGUGUCUUGGGGUCAGAAAGUCUCCAAAACUACAAUCUGAAGUCACCGACAUCACCACAAGCUGUUUGGAAGGGUUUCGGGAAAAAAGCCUCUACUCUCAUCCAAAAACACACUCGAGCGUCUUCAGUGUGCCGACACUACUGGAACUUCAAAUGGGACCGGGUUCUACGGUCAGAUGAAACCAGAAUAGAGCUUUUUGGUAAUAAACACAGAGGUGGUUUUGGAGCACACAGAGAGGUAGCCAUAUGGAAAAGUACCUCAUGCCCACGGUUAAAUAUGGUGGUGGCUCUUUAAUGUUUUGGGGAUGUUUCUCUGCCAGAGGACCUGGACAUUUUGUUAGGACACAUGGCAUCAUGGACUCCAUCAAAUAUCAACAGAUAUUAAAUAAAACCUGACUGCCUCUGACAGAAAGAUUCAAAUGGGCCGUGGUUGGAUCUUCCAGCAGGACGAUGAUCCAAAACAUCAUCAACAUCAACACAGAAAUGGUUCACUGACCACAAAAUCAAGAUCCUGCCCUGACCAUCCCAGUCCCCUGACCUGAACCCCAUAGAGAACCUGUGGGGUGAACUGAAGAGGAGAGUCCACCAGUGUGGACCUGAAAUGUGAAGGAUCUGGAGAGAUUCUGUCUGGAGGAACGCUCUCAGAUCCCUCGCCAUGUAUUCUCCAACCUCAUCAGGCGUUAUAGGAGAAGACUCAGAGCUGUUAUCUUGGCAAAGUGAUGUAGCACAAAGUAUUGACUAAAAGGGUGCCAAUAAUUGCUGCACAUAUUUAACAAAGAUUUAGUUUUUAUAAACCUGUUUUGUUUGCAAAUUGUUUGAUAUCCAUGAGAGCAGAGUAUUUUUGUGAAUGUUUUUGGAUACAAAUGCAGGAUUUUAUUAAAGGUAAACAAUCCAUAGGACAUUUUCACACUUGUAAACAACGUGCAAACAUGUCAGGAGAUCGGCAAACAGGUCAAUAAACAAACCCAGAGUCAAUACACAAGAUAUUACCACAGAACAAAGGCGUGGGAUCAUUCCUAGGCAAACUAGAAGAGAGACUUCGCAUUGAAUGUUUGAGAGUCCAGUCUAUUUCGAGUAUAACUCCACAUAAGUCUGAAUUUCCAACCUCAGACUGUGAAAAAACAAAGAAAACAACUCCUCAUCUCGAAAACUCAGGACAGACUCCUCAACCCCAAGUUCAGCAAGUGAUGUCAAAUCAACACAGCAUCAGCAGUGAACACAGGAGCACUUCAAAUGUGUUAUACUGUACAUACACUUAAUUACUGUACAUCAGUCAGCAUACAGACAUGUUCACCUGUUAACCUAUAACACUGACUACACUGCCCACUGUUCUGAGGUCAGUAUACAUCACUCAGCACACAGAGCUGGCUAGAUCAUUGUUAACAAAAGCUGAACAUGGAGGCUCUCAUGGUCUUCUUCCCACUUUGUAGCUUGAGCACACAGAGAUCAGAAAUGUUAUAUUUCCAAGUUUUAACUUCCCACUUUCGAGUUAAGUGACAGACAGCAUGCGGACGUGUAAUCUCUUGCCUCUGAAUUCUGGGAUUUGAAGUUUCCGGUUACGCCAGAAGGUGACGUGACACUUUUCUUUACUUUUCCCUUUACUCUCACACUAUCCGUUGUUCCACAGAUGAGGACGGGUUCCCUUCUGAGUCCGGUUCCUCUCAAGGUUUCUUCCUCAUAUCAUCUCAGGGAGUUUUUCCUCACCACCUUCACCACCGGCUGCUCAAUAGGGAUAAAUCCACACACUUAAAAUCUCUACCCUGUGUUUAUAUGUUUCUGUAAAGCUGCUUUGAGACAACGUCUACUGUUAAAAGCGCUAUAGAAAUAAAACUGAAUUGAAUUGCUAUAUAUGUCCUACUUCAUCCUGUCAACAUGAGAGACAGCAAGAGACGCUAAAACAGUUAAAAAUAUAUAACUUUUAUGGCAAAGAUCAAAAGAAAACAUUCCAGACAAAGCUGCUACAAUUGUUUCUAAAAAAAAAAAAACGUGAGCAUUUUUGUCUCAAAUAUUUUGAUACAAAAUGUGUAAUAUAGAUGGAUUUGUUUGUCCUGUUCACAAAGAGUGGUUUAUAUUUGUUCUUUUUAGGUUGCAGAAUGGCAGAAUUUGAAGAGAUUAUUAAAGCGGUUGAAGAUGGGAUAGAAGAAGCGGAAGAAGCAUCUGAGGGACUAUCAGGAGAAGCACGAGAGGAAAUUGAAGAAGUAAUAGCCGAAACCCGCACGGCGAUUGAAGAGCUUUCUACAACUCAGAAUAAACUCCAAGAGUUCCUUAAGUCCAUCGGAAAUUGUGUAGCUAAAGUGGCCAAGUUUACUGCUGAAACUGUAGCGGUUGGCGCCAUCCUGUGGGGGGUAAAUGUUGCUUUAAACAAGCUGCUUCCACAACAUGACCAAAAAGAAACCAAGACACGCAUGCGUAAUGUAAUAAAGGCCUUGAGUGACGUGAUCAACACUGAAGCCACCAUAAACAAGAAGGUACUGGAAUGGAUGGAGGUCCACAAGGACGAUACCAUCACUCUGGAUGGAUAUGAAGUGUCUUUGGAAGCCAUUCUGACAAAAUACAUUAAACCAUUAGUUGAGGCAUCCGAAAAAGCCGAAACCAUCGCUGAAUCCCUCCAAGAAAAGGUUGAUGGGAAAACUCAGUUUAAAUGUCCAAGCGCAGAUGUCAUGAGAAAAUUCAUGGAUGUGACCGAUGUGUACAUCAAGGCCUUCACCGAUCUCAUCGCGUUCAUUAUGAAAAAUGUAGACCAUGUUGUAGAGCUGCAGAGCUUUCCGGUAAAAGAGGGAGAUGUUAUUGACCUAGCAGCAAAGCUGAAUGCUGCCAAGGACUUACCUCUGUGGUAAAAUAGAUUAUGAUUUGAUAACAUUACUCAGAAAUGGCAGAACAAGUUGUGUGUGUUUUUCUAGUUUGGAUAAGUUUGGCUAAUUCAACACUUUUAUCUACUGAAUUUAUUGAAUAUAGCACGUGGAACAAGAUCAAAUCAAAUGAACAUUUUAAUGGCAAUGCUAUCUUGUUUUACUUUUAAUUCAUUCGGCUUAUUUUCUUUAAACGUAUUUGCAUUUUUAUAACAAUUAUAUUUUUAAAAUGAAUCAUUUCUGAUUAAGAUUCAUGUAUUUCCUAUAACUUACUCAUAUGAAAAUAUUUUUAUGCCAGUGAUGUCUUAAUCAGUUAACUCUUAGAUUUUGGAUGAGUUUCAUCACCAGACUUUCUAAACCAGUCUCAUUAUGAAUCAGUGAACGUUGGUCAAUGUACAUUUCCUGUUUCAAAAUAUUGUCAUCAAAAGAUCUGCAACAUGAAUCUCCAUUUUUUUUUCUCCACUUGUAUCUGCAUUCAUCAUCUUCAUUAAAAGAAGUUCAUAAACUAUUUUGUCUUCAUUGAAUGAAAUCUUUUAAAGUUCUACAUUAGUGAUAUUAGGGAUUUCAAAACACCAAAUAAAUGAAGGAAUUUUAAUGAAAGAAUGUGACAAUAAUACACAAUGUAAAACAAGGGUUAGAACUGCAAAAGAACCAGGAUAGCGAAAAACAAGAAACGCGAAACCAAAAAUGAGAACGACGAGCACCUUUAGGAAAACUUGGAACGCAAAUCAGUUAAAUAAAAUAAUAAACAAAAUCAAAAAUAAUAAUAAUCAAAACAAACCCACUCAUGGGAAGCAGCUCUCGCCAUAUUGGAAAACCACAGCACACACCGAGAGGUCAUUUGUGAUGAACAUUUCUGAAUCUCUGAAGAUACUAAGCUAGCUUAGAGUUAGUUUCUUCUUCAUUCAGUAAGUGGUGUGUAUAUCUCAGCGUUCUCCAUUGCUCGGUUUGUCCCUCAGCAUUGUCUCCUUUGAAUAUCUCACAUUUCCUCACUGUCUAGUCAUCUAUCAAUACUGCAGCCACAUUCCAUUAGCAUGGAUGAGCGAUUUUUGUGUCGUUAACGGACCCCUCUGGCCACGACUGGCCUCAUCUACUGUGCACAUUUCCUCCUCUAACACGGAUUCUUCCCACGUUACAAAUAAUUCAGCCAGGUCAUGUUUACACAUGAUUGAAUGCAGGAUAUGAGAGUGAGCCUGGCAAACAUUCAUUACCAUGUCCUAUAGUACAAAUUAGACUUCAUGGGAGCCAUCCAAUCCUCAGACCAGCUGUUUAUCUGCCACAGAGGAAAGACACAAUGGCCUCCUUUACCUAUGUAGCAGUUGGCCCACUGGGUGGAGGACAUUAUCACCAAGCUCCCAUCGUGACAUACCAGAACAUGAGGAGUAUCUGCACCCACGGUCUCAUCUCAACAUCUUAUGCUUCUGUGGAAUUCUGUGGUUACCGUUACCCCUCCCAUUUUUCUUCACAUUAUUGUUAUCUAUUACCCACCUGGCUCUCUAGGAAACCUCAGUGAAGAGCUGGACAUUCUCCUUAGUCUCUUUUCUACACCUUGCUGUGCUCCUCUCAUAGCGCCCUCUUCUGUUAACAUUUUCAAUGCUUCGUCUUUCUGAAUUCGUUAGUAAGUUUGGCGAGUGUUGUGUGUGAUGCGCUCGCAAUGUUUCCUGCGAAAGUCCAUCGCAUCCUUGUGACAGUUUCCCGAUCCAGCCACGAGAACGAUUUCAAGAUGUUCUUUUGUCAAAGUGACUGAAAAAAAAAAAAUAUUAUAAACUAAGUAUGAAAAAUUUUGGAAGACAUUUUGCUGAAAAGUAUCAAUUUCUCCUAUGCAUGGAGACUUUUGGGACACGCUGUAUAACCCAUUAACGUUGGCAUCAUCUUGAAGUGGUAUUCCGUAAAUAAAUUUUCUUAAAGAUAAAAAACCCCAUGUGACAGGAAAGACAAGUGCAUGCGAAUCAGCAUGAACGUGUAUUCUUCGUAAGGCCUCUUAAAUAAGACUUUUUAACCUGUAUAUCUUUGUAGGACACUGUAUCUAAAGAGUGCCUUUUCAAAUACAAAUUAUUUGAUGAUCAGUUGAUCAUUUAAUUUGACUCCUUGAAGUCAUACAAUUUUGUACAUGUCUAACAUCCUGGCUUCCUUUACAAAAAUACUUACUAUGAAAAACAUUUUUAUAAAAUGAUAUCAGAAAAGAAUUGUCUGAAAUAAAUAUAUAUAUAUAUAUAU
ensembl:lncRNA